GGCAGCAUCACGAGGAAACAUACUGCAACAUACUGUAGGUCAGUCCACCAUCUGCCAGGUACGAGGGACAAUGGAAUUCAGGGAAGGCAACGCUUACAAGGCACGGAAAUGGUAGCAGCCUCUGACGAUGCACCAGCAGAAGUGUUGGGCAGUUGCGACCCAGGUUCUGCUAGCAUUUGGCUAAUGAAAGCCGAUUGGUCAAUGAAGAACUCACGACUGGUUACGACCGAAGAAUACGCUUUGUGGUACCUGUCCACAGAACAUCAACAACGCUCUUAAGGUGCCAACCGCCGUUAAAAGAGAAGAAGAAGAAAGCUCUUAAGGAGGACUCUGAAAGGACAUUACAAUCGAACUUUUUUAUUUGAUUAUGGUCAACUUUGGAUGUACUGAUCCUACCACACACAUACAUUGUAUUGUAAAAAUAAAUUUGAAAGUUAACUGAU